rnacentral:rRNA from 1 species
GAUCAUGGCUCAGAUUGAACGCUGGCGGCAUGCUUUACACAUGCAAGUCGAACGGUAACAGGAAACAGCUUGCUGUUUCGCUGACGAGUGGCGGACGGGUGAGUAAUGUCUGGGAAACUGCCUGAUGGAGGGGGAUAACUACUGGAAACGGUAGCUAAUACCGCAUAACGUCGCAAGACCAAAGAGGGGGGACCUUCGGGCCUCUUGCCAUCGGAUGUGCCCAGAUGGGAUUAGCUAG